UUGAACUAAAACCGACUACAGCACAUCGUGUAAAAUCCUUUGUCGAUGUGAACAUUUUUUGUACCGAGGAUGCUAUCUUUGAUCAAUGUUAACAAUCCAUUUGUCCGUGUGUUCGCAUUUAUCAAAUAUUAUUACAAAUAAAACCUGACGACAGUAAGCUUAUUAUACAUCUGCCUUAAAAUUGCAAUCUGGAUGUUCGUUAAAACACCAAUUGGUAGCAUGUUAGCAUUUUAUCCAGUUUUGUUAGGCUUUCAAAAUAUUGUAAUACCAGACUACAGGGCAAGAUGUAAAAUCCUUAUCAAUCUGCCCAAGUGUACUUGUUGUUAGCAUACAAGUUGUCAGCAUGUUAGCAUCUUGUAAACUCUUUACUGUUCUGCCUCAGCAUUUUUUUUGGUCGUAAUGUUUUGAAUUCCUAUCACUUUAGAUUUUAGUCCUUUAUCCCACACUACACCACUGGGUUGUGCUGUUUGAAUAGCUCGUCUCAGUCCGUGUACUUUGUGCCCAUUCGUUUUUCCUUCUGAAGUAGGGAAACAAAAAACGGGAAUAGACCCUAUUUUUGUUUUUGUUUUGAAGUAUGCACCGUAUUUUCACGACCAUAAGGCGCACUUAAAAGUCCAAGUUUUCUCCAAAAUGGACGGGGCACCUUAUAAUACGGCACGCCUUAUGUGUGCACCGAGUUCCAACAUCUAUAAAUGUUGUUGUGUGAUGAGCGCUCCGCUUGACUUUUUUAUUUAUUUAUUUAUUUUUAGCAUUUCCUGCCGACACGCUGCUUACACAGAGGAAAAGCGGACGUAGCUGAGGACAGGGGAAGGACGCUAAAGCCACGCCCCGAGUAGGAAUAUAGAGCGGGGUGUUUUUUUAAUUAAUUUAUUUAUUUAAAAAUUUUGUACAGUUUUUUUUUAACCGCUUUACUGACUGGGAGCAUUUCCGGGGUGUGCAUUGUGCAAAACAACAUCGGUUUGGCUAAGGACCCCCGAGCAGCCGCGAGAGAAUUCAAGAUCAACGAAUCCAUGGUUUGCAAGUGGAGGAAGCAGGAAAACAAGCUUCGCCAAGUCAAGAAGACGAAGCUGAGUUUUUGCGGGAAAAAAAGAAAAACAAAACGGGGAAACAAGGCGAGGUGGCCAGAGUUGGAUGACCAACUCGAGCAAUGGAUUAAUGAGCAAAGAAUAACUCGAGGCUUGCCAUCAUUCCGGGAGGCUUGACGAACCGCUGGACAUCCGUGUAAACAGUGCCUUGAAAGUGAAGUUGCGAGCGGCGUGGAAGCGAUGGAUGACAAAUGUCGAACACAGCUUUACUAAGACUAGGAGGCAGCGCCGGGUGAGUUGCGCCACCAUAAACUUGGAUUGUGGGUGCUGGGUUAACGUGUCUGCUUGCACUGUUGUUCGAGCUUUCGCACGGCAACGAGACUGACUCAGACCUGGCGUGUUUGAUUGAGAACUUGCCCAGCUGUUCAUUUUGGAUACAGACGAUGAGGACUUUGAUGGAUUUGCGGAUGAGGAUUGAUCAAAAAAUAACAUCAUCGCCUGCCACCAUGGGGGACCUAGGUUCAAGACCCCGACUGGACGAUCCGCCAACAUCCCCUGGACUCAUGACUGUGGUGUCCUUGAGCAAGACACUGAUACCCCGAAAUGCUCCCCGGGCGCUUCAGCUGCCCCUUGCUCCAGUGUGUUCCACUAACAUGUGUUCACUGUGAUGGGUUAAAUGCAGAGAACAAAUUUCGUGUACAUGCAUGCAUGUUCAUGACAAUAAAAGAUGAUUCUAAUUCUAA